rnacentral:rRNA from 1 species
UAAAGCCAAAGACCUCCCAAGCCGUCAAACGCACCCCGGAGGCACGUCUCCAAACGCGAAAGCAACUUUACCUCCCCCGACGCCACGAAAGCUAAGAAACAAACUGGGAUUAGAUACCCCACUAUGCUUAGCCCUAAACUCAGAUGUAAGUACAUACAAACUCAUCCGCCAGGGUACUACAAGCGCUAGCUUAAAACCCAAAGGACUUGACGGUGUCUCAGACCCACCUAGAGGAGCCUGUUCUAGAACCGAUAAUCCCCGUUAAACCUCACCAUCCCUUGUCUUUUCCCGCCUAUAUACCGCCGUCGCAAGCUUACCCUGUGAAGGGCUUACAGUAAGCAAAAUGGGCCAGCCCCAGAACGUCAGGUCGAGGUGUAGCUCACGAGAUGGAAAGAAAUGGGCUACAUUUUCUAUUUCAGAAUAUCCACGAACGGUACCAUGAAACCUAGUACCCGAAGGUGGAUUUAGCAGUAAAAGACAAACAGAGCGUGUCUUUGAAUCAGGCUCUGAGACGCGCACACACCGCCCGUCACUC